CUAAUUGCAGCUGAUCGUGUUGAUGCAGCUCCAAGAGCAGUCUCAGCAAUAGGGGAUGUGUGGCAGUUUAGCCGCUCGUAGCAGAUGGAGAGAAUGAAAUCAACAUCGUUGGGCUACACAGCGGAGGUCCAGCUGUGACGGCUAAAAGUAGUGAAUCUGCAAGUGGCUUGAGUCCAGAUGGAGCAGCUGGUGUCUGGACGCAGCAGCUCAGUAAUCCGGGCACAGAGAUACAGCCAUGAGAACCAUGCUCGCAGAGCAAAAAGUACUCUAUCAGAACAGCAAGAGCCCUGGCUGGAUGAAAUGAGCUCCACUCGUCAUAGCACAAAGAUGCACACUGAUACAUUCACACCGUGUGAUGGAAAACAAUCGUUUUUUUUUUUUUUUUUGUUUUGGUUUAAGAGGUUUUUAUUUGCAUUCAGUUCCUUCCCAGUCUAAACAUGGUGGGAUGUGGUGCUUUUGUGGGAAAAAUAAAGUCAUUAUUCUCCUGGA